AAGUCGUAACAAGGUUUCCGUAGGUGAACCUGCGGAAGGAUCAUUACCGAGUGGCGCGAAAUUCCUGUCGUGAGACGGGGAAGCUACCCGACCUUUUGUCAUUUUGUCAAGUCUGGCUGGCGGGAUUGCAUUCGUGAGAAAGCGAAUGUGGAUUUCGGCAGACGGACCAAAACUUCGGCGGAAGAGGUAGGCGUGGACCUGCCCGCCGCCGGCCGUAUAAGACAAUACACAUUCUUGAGAGCAAACUGAAGUCUAAGACGAUCCUUGAAAAAGGAAUACCAAAAAAAAGCAAAACUUUCAACAACGGAUCUCUUGGCUCUG
rnacentral:misc_RNA from 1 species